UGGGGAAUAUUGGACAAAGGGCGAAAGCCUGAUCCAGCCAUGCCGCGUGUGUGAAGAAGGUCUUCGGAUUGUAAAGCACUUUAAGUUGGGAGGAAGGGCAGUAAGCGAAUACCUUGCUGUUUUGACGGUACCGACAGAAUAAGCACCGGCUAACUCUGUGCCAGCAGCCGCGGUAAUACAGAGGGUGCAAGCGUUAAUCGGAAUUACUGGGCGUAAAGCGCGCGUAGGUGGUUCGUUAAGUUGAAUGUGAAAGCCCCGGGCUCAACCUGGGAACUGCAUCCAAAACUGGCGAGCUAGAGUAGGGCAGAGGGUGGUGGAAUUUCCUGUGUAGCGGUGAAAUGCGUAGAUAUAGGAAGGAACACCAGUGGCGAAGGCGACCACCUGGGCUCAUACUGACACUGAGGUGCGAAAGCGUGGGGAGCAAACAGG
rnacentral:rRNA from 1 species